AGGAGCCCCAGGAGCACUUGUUAGUGAAUGAACUUAAUGUCCAACAUGGUAUUUUUACAGCUGAGAAGCUCUUGAGCCCUUGUUGGUGACCUCGGGAAGGCUAUCAUCUGGGAGUUCAGGCUGCCAGUCCAGCAGCUGGUCUCUUGGCUUUCAUACCCAGGCUGACUGAGUUCUGAUCAUCUCCUAGGAGGGUCCUUCCUUCCAGAGGCUGGGAACUCCCAGACAGCCGAGGAGAAACCUCAGUCAUCCUCAGCUCCCUCAGCAAGACAGACGUCCUGCCAUCAUGGAGUCCACGGGGCCCCCACGCACUGGAUAUUUUAUUCAAUGCUGCAUUUCCCACUGUGGGGUUUGUCCCCUAAUGGAUGAACUUACAGGUAUCAGGGAAUAUUGGGAGGCUGGGGGCAGAGGGGCCACUCACACUCCUGCAGUGGGUUAGAAUCCUCCCCUGUGUGGAGAAACUUGGCUCCUAUCUUGCCCUAGAGGUCCUUCCUUGUCUCAGUUUCACCUCAUUUCAAAGGUGAAUUGGAACCUAUGCCAGCAAACCCACUGAAGGCUCCCUCCUCUGCUGUUACCAUCUGAGGAGCCGUGGGAAUGGGAGGGGGCACUCUUCUUAAACUGCAGCCCUGGGCAUGUAGCCCUGCCACUUCCCCACAGCAUCUCUCUCCUGCCACAAAAGGACACAUAGAUCCCUUUAGAGGUAUCCGCUUUGCUCAAGUAGGAGUCAUCUCAGGGCAGCCACGGCGUCUGGGUUUCCAGCUUUGUGUUCUCAGCCACAUAGAAAUCUGCCUUCUCCUCCAAGUUCCUGCCUGCAUCACCAAAGGCCAACAGCCUCUAUCCUCCGGUCCCUGGCGAAAUCGUCUUUCUGAUGGAAACAGGAAUCACACCCUGGUUCAUGUGCUAUUUCGGAUGAUCCAGAGUCCCCAUGACAGGUGCGCCCUGGACUCUGCUGUCUCCAGCCCCGCUUUGAAGAGCUGCCUCUUCUGAGCUGGCCCACUUCCACCUACAAGUACCAGCAGGCAUUGAAUUCUGGAGGUUGCGGAUCCCUGCUUUAAGAGAAGGCUUGGGGGACUUCCCUGGUGGUCCAGUGGCUAAAGACUCUGUGCUCCCAGUGCAGGGGGCUCCGAUUCAAUCCCUGGUCAGGGAACUAAACCCCACAUGCCCCAACUACAGAUCCAGCAUGCUGCAAUUAACACCCAAAGCAGCCA
rnacentral:lncRNA from 1 species